AGAGUUUGAUCCUGGCUCAGAAUCAACGCUGGCGGCGUGCCUAACACAUGCAAGUCGAACGAGAAAGUGGAGCAAUCCAUGAGUAAAGUGGCGACCGGGUGAGUAACACGUGACUAACCUACCUUUUAGUGGGGGAUAACCUCGGGAAACCGAGGCUAAUACCGCAUAACAUCGCAAGAUCAAAGCAGCAAUGCGCUGGAAGAGGGGGUCGCGGCUGAUUAGCUAGUUGGCGGGGUAAUGGCCCACCAAGGCGAAGAUCGGUAUCCGGCCUGAGAGGGCGCACGGACACACUGGAACUGAAACACGGUCCAGACUCCUACGGGAGGCAGCAGUGGGGAAUUUUGCGCAAUGGGGGAAACCCUGACGCAGCAACGCCGCGUGGAGGAUGAAGCCCCUUGGGGCGUAAACUCCUUUCGACCAAGACGAUAAUGACGGUACUGGUGGAAGAAGCACCGGCUAACUCUGUGCCAGCAGCCGCGGUAAUACAGAGGGUGCGAGCGUUGUCCGGAAUUAUUGGGCGUAAAGGGCGCGUAGGCGGUGCCACAAGUCACCUGUGUAAUCCCCGGGCUUAACCCGGGGCCUGCAGGCGAAACUGUGGCGCUGGAGUAUGGGAGAGGUGCGUGGAAUCCCCGGUGUAGCGGUGAAAUGCGUAGAUAUCGGGAGGAACACCUGUGGCGAAAGCGGCGCACUGGACCAUAACUGACGCUGAGGCGCGAAAGCUAGGGGAGCAAACAGGAUUAGAUACCCUGGUAGUCCUAGCCCUAAACGAUGAUUGCUUGGUGUAGCAGUACCCAAUCCUGCUGUGCCGCAGCUAACGCGAUAAGC
rnacentral:rRNA from 1 species